UUUGGGAGAAAAUUAGAAAAACUUGGUCUGCCUGUAGUUACACAGUGAUGUUCUGCCACGGAUGGCAGAACAAGGCUUCACGAGCCAAGGAUGGCUCGUUGAACGCCGGUCACGUCACUCCGCCAUAACCUAAAUCAGGCAGACCUAGCUUUUCUUAUUUUCGUACAAC
ncrna:Roseburia intestinalis L1-82 TwoGGAY RNA